GACGAACGCUGGCGGCGUGCCUAAUACAUGCAAGUCGAACGAGAGCGACCGGUGCUUGCACUGGUCAAUCUAGUGGCGAACGGGUGUGUAACACGUGGGUAACCUGCCCAUCAGAGGGGGAUAACAUCCGGAAACGGAUGCUAAAACCGCAUAGGUCUUCGAGCCGCAUGGCUUGAAGAGGAAAAGAGGCGCAAGCUUCUGCUGAUGGAUGGACCCGCGGUGCAUUAGCUAGUUGGUGAGGUAACGGCUCACCAAGGCAGUGAUGCAUAGCCGACCUGAGAGGGUGAUCGGCCACAUUGGGACUGAGACACGGCCCAAACUCCUACGGGAGGCAGCAGUAGGGAAUCUUCCGCAAUGGACGCAAGUCUGACGGAGCAACGCCGCGUGAGUGAAGAAGGUUUUCGGAUCGUAAAACUCUGUUGUUAGAGAAGAACAAGUGCUAGAGUAACUGUUAGCGACUUGACGGUAGCUAACCAGAAAGCCACGGCUAACUACGUG
rnacentral:rRNA from 1 species